rnacentral:rRNA from 1 species
UACAGAGGGGGCAAGCGUUGUUCGGAAUUACUGGGCGUAAAGGGCGCGUAGGCGGCCGCGCAAGUCGAGUGUGAAAGCCCCGGGCUUAACUUGGGAAUUGCGCUCGAAACUACGUGGCUGGAGUGUGGCAGAGGAAGGUGGAAUUCCAGGUGUAGCGGUGAAAUGCGUAGAGAUCUGGAGGAACACCGAUGGCGAAGGCAGCCUUCUGGGCCAACACUGACGCUCAUGCACGAAAGCGUGGGGAGCAAACAGG